rnacentral:rRNA from 1 species
UGGCGGCGUGGUUAAGACAUGCAAGUCGAACGAGAGAAUUGCUAGCUUGCUAAUAAUUCUCUAGUGGCGCACGGGUGAGUAACACGUGAGUAACCUGCCCCCGAGAGCGGGAUAGCCCCGGGAAACUGGGAUUAAUACCGCAUAGUAUCGAAAGAUUAAAGCAGCAAUGCGCUUGGGGAUGGGCUCGCGGCCUAUUAGUUAGUUGGUGAGGUAACGGCUCACCAAGGCGAUGACGGGUAGCCGGUCUGAGAGGAUGUCCGGCCACACUGGAACUGAGACACGGUCCAGACACCUACGGGUGGCAGCAGUCGAGAAUCAUUCACAAUGGGGGAAACCCUGAUGGUGCGACGCCGCGUGGGGGAAUGAAGGUCUUCGGAUUGUAAACCCCUGUCAUGUGGGAGCAAAUUAAAAAGAUAGCACCACAAGAGGAAGAGACGGCUAACUCUGUGCCAGCAGCCGCGGUAAUACAGAGGUCUCAAGCGUUGUUCGGAAUCACUGGGCGUAAAGCGUGCGUAGGCUGUUUCGUAAGUCGUGUGUGAAAGGCGCGGGCUCAACCCGCGGACGGCACAUGAUACUGCGAGACUAGAGUAAUGGAGGGGGAACCGGAAUUCACGGUGUAGCA